GAUGAACGCUGGCGGCGUGCCUCAAACAUGCAAGUCGAGCGGGGCUAUGUAAUAUCGCAAGGUAGAACAUAGCCUAGCGGCGAACGGGUGAGUAACACGUGGGUAACCUGCCUGGAAGACAGGGAUAACGAUUCGAAAGGGUCGCUAAUACCUGAUAAUAUCCUUUCAUCGCAUGGUGAUAGGAAGAAAGGGGAAACCCGCUUUCAGAUGGGCCCGCGUCCCAUCAGCUAGUUGGUAAGGUAAAGGCUUACCAAGGCGACGACGGGUAGCCGGUCUGAGAGGAUGUACGGCCACACUGGGACUGAGAUACCGGCCCAGACUCCUACGGGAGGCAGCAGUUGGGAAUCUUAGGCAAUGGACGAAAGUCUGACCUAGCGACGCCGCGUGAGGGAAGAAGGCCUUCGGGUUGUAAACCUCUGUCAUGGGGGAAGAAGUAAGUGACGGUACCCCAAGAGGAAGCCCCCUGCUAACUACGUG
rnacentral:rRNA from 1 species